AUUGAACGCUGGCGGCAGGCCUAACACAUGCAAGUCGAACGAGUGGCGGACGGGUGAGUAAUGUCUGGGAAACUAGCUUAUGGAGGGGGAUAACUACGGGAAACUGUAGCUAAUACCGCAUACCAUAGGAUGAGCCCAGGUGGGAUUAGGUAGUUGGUGAGGUAAAGGCUCACCAAGCCGACGAUCCCUAGCUGGUCUGAGAGGAUGACCAGCCACACUGGAACUGAGACAAGGCCCAGACUCCUACGGGAGGCAGCAGUGGGGAAGAUUGCACAAUGGUGGCAACCCUGAUGCAGCCAUGCCGCGUGUAUGAAGAAGGCCUUCGGGUUGUAAAGUUCUUUCAGUGGGGAGGCGUUACCUGCAGAAGAAGCACCGGCUAACUCCGUGCCAGCAGCCGCGGUAAUUC
rnacentral:rRNA from 1 species